rnacentral:rRNA from 1 species
GAUGAACGCUGGCGGCGUGCUUAACACAUGCAAGUCGAACGGAAAGGCCCAAGCUUGCUUGGGUACUCGAGUGGCGAACGGGUGAGUAACUCGUGGGUGAGCUGCCCUGCACUUCGUGAUAAGCCUGGGAAACUGGGUGUAAUACCGGCUAGGACUAUGGUUUGGAUGCCAUUGUGGAGAGUGUUUUCGGUGUGGGCUGAGCUCGCGGCCUAUCAGCUUGUUGGUGGGGUAAUGGCGUACCAAGGGGUCGACGGGUAGCCGGCCUGGGAGGGUGUACGGGGACUUUGAGACGGAGAAGCGGCCCACAGUACUAAGGGGGGGAGGAGAGGGGAAAAUUGGACAAAGGGCGCAAGCCUGAUGCAGCGACGGCGCGGGGGGGAUGACGGCUUUCGGGUUGUAAACUCCUGUCGCUAGGGUGGAAGCGUUUUUGUGACGGUAACUGGAGAAGAAGCACCGGCUAACUACGUG